rnacentral:tRNA from 1 species
GCGGCUAUGGCGGAAUUGGCAGACGCGCCAGAUUCAGGUUCUGGUGGGCAUUACGCCCGUGUAGGUUCGACUCCUAUUAGCCGCA